rnacentral:rRNA from 1 species
GACGAACGCUGGCGGCGUGCUUAACACAUGCAAGUCGAGCGGUAAGGCCUUUCGGGGUACACGAGCGGCGAACGGGUGAGUAACACGUGGGUGAUCUGCCCUGCACUUCGGGAUAAGCCUGGGAAACUGGGUCUAAUACCGGAUAUGACCUCCUAUCGCAUGGUGGGUGGUGGAAAGAUUUAUCGGUGCAGGAUGGGCCCGCGGCCUAUCAGCUUGUUGGUGGGGUAAUGGCCUACCAAGGCGACGACGGGUAGCCGACCUGAGAGGGUGACCGGCCACACUGGGACUGAGACACGUCCCAGACUCCUACGGGAGGCAGCAGUGGGGAAUAUUGCACAAUGGGCGAAAGCCUGAUGCAGCGACGCCGCGUGAGGGAUGACGGCCUUCGGGUUGUAAACCUCUUUCAGCAGGGACGAAGCGCAAGUGACGGUACCUGCAGAAGAAGCACCGGCUAACUACGUG